AGCCUUUGGUCCCUUCAAAGGUGUAUCCUGCCCACUGAUCCUUUUUUAACGGCCGCAGUACCUUGACUGUGCUAAGGUAGCGUAAUCAGUUGGCUUUUAAUUGGAGUCGAGAAUGAACGGGCAAACGGGGGUUAACUGUCUCUGGACUGUUUUAUUGAACUUACUUAAAAGGUGAAAAUUCCUUUUCAAAGAAAAAAGACGAGAAGACCCUUGGAGUUUUUACUAUAUAUGUUUCUGUACGUUUUUGUUGGGGCGACAAGAAGGCAGUCUAUAACCCUUCAUGGAAAUCUAUGACUUGACGGUUUUUUCAAGAAAGAAUAAACUACCCUAGGGAUAACAGCAUAAUGUUUAAAAAGCUUGUGACCUCGAUGUUGGACUAGGAACUAAAUGGCUAGCCGUCAAGUUAG
rnacentral:rRNA from 1 species